CUUAUAUUAGAUUAGAAUAGUCAAUGCAAAAAAUGAAAUGCUCGAAUGUAAUUUGAAUGAAAUACCUGAGAAGGACACAAUCAGUGCGCUUAUGAAGCCUUAAUUUGGGAAUGUUUAAGCCAGCAUGAGUAAUAUUGAUUUGUUAAGAAUUUUGCCUUAUGCCGAGGACGAUGUUGGAACCAUAUGAGGGUGUUGUGGAUGGAAUGGGUGGCGAGUUGUGUCAACGAGGAGGCGUUUCUGAUUGGGAUGCUGUCGAGAUGGAGGUAGUGAAGGAGAACGAUGAGUGCCAGGAGGUGAUGCAAGUAAUUUGUUGUGUUAAAGGUGAUCGAGUGGUCAAAAUUGAUGCGAGUUUGGAUAAGGAACGUCCCUUGGCCGUAAGGUUAAUUGUCGAAUGUGUUUGUGAUGAUGAAGAGGAUAUGGUUUACGAAUCGUUGGAUUAUUGUACAACGAGAAGACUUUCGGAUGAUAUACCUGUGUUUAGCGGAUCCAUCGUCUUUUUUAUCGUGAGAAGGUAGAGGUGAGAAUGAAAUUUGAUGAGCUUCUCGAACGGGGCGUUAUAUGUUCAAGUGGUUUCCCAUAUGCUUCUCCGAUAGUAUUGGUUAGUCGAAGGAAUGGUAAAAUGAGGCUAAGUGUUGACUAUCGCGGACUGAAUAAGAUACCUUUGAAGGAUAAUUACCCGAUGCUCACGAUAGAGGACUGUUUGGACUAUUUGAGCGGUAAGCGUUAUUUUUCGGCAAUUGAUAUGGAGAGUAGUUUUCAUUAAGUGCAAAUGGACGAGGAUUCGAUUGACCGGGUAGGCUAUACCAGGCUAUUAUGGACCGAUUCUGACCGUACUUAACACGUAAGUUGUGGGUCAUGGGAGAAUCAUGGGAAUUGUGGAAAAUUUCAACCAAAUCGGUUAAGAAUUGCACUCUCUAGAUUCUCAAGAGGUGUAAAAAGAAGAUCAAUUUACAUGAGAGCUAUAUCUGGUUAUGAACCGAUUCAGACUGUUGAAUGUCGUAGGAAAAGUCACUACAAAAACUCAGCCAAAACUGAUAAGAAUUGUUCCCGCUUACACCUGCCCCAGAAACGUCUCCUUUGUCCGCCUUUUUAACAUGGUGCACUAUCCGUUGAAACGAGAUUUAGGCGAAUGUGGGUUCCAUUUCAAAACGUUAUAAAAAAAGUUCAAAUUAUGUUGGGAGUUUGGAAACUUCAUGGACAAUAUUUAAAGGUAAGUAAAUCCAAGAAACAUCAGGCAGUGCAGUGACAUAGAACUCAAUGCCGCCUAACUCAUAUGGGGUUCCUGAUGAGACCAUAACCUACUCCCAAGAACAUAAUUUUCUCGAGAUUUUGAUGACUAGUAUACGCAAAGAUAUUUAUUUUGAACAACGGGCAGUGUAGGGACGGUAGACUCAACAUAGCCUAACAAACAGGGACCCGAUGAUGGAACCAUUACUAGGAUAGACAAAUUUCCUAAUAUUAAAACAUCAGGCGGUGCAGCGACGGAAAACUCAAUGCAGCCUAAAGAAAAGGGAGCAGACGAUGACACCAUCACUCACUCCCCAGAAGCCCAUCUAAUGGAGGACCAAUGAUUGAGAUCACUCACGCUCUGAUGGAGAAAAUACACAAGGCCUAGAUUCAUAUUGCCUUAAUUCAGGAGCUAUGGACGACCCGAAACAAAGUUUCUGGACUGAACCAUAUCAACUACCAAUUAUUCUUUGCUAACACUGGUAAUCGGCCGAGGACCUGCGAUAUUUGUCACAAAAAAUUUAAUUAUGUGAUGAGACAGGGAGACAGUGGACUCCGACACCGCCACCUACGUUGGAUCUGCAACGGUUGGUGAGGAAAGCAAAGCAGACAGGAAAUGAGGUACUAAUAUGGUGCGAUGCGAUCUAUCACCACAUUUAGUGGGUUAGUACCAACAUUAAUAAGCGGGGUCAAACCCUGCCAAAAUUCGGAAGAAUACUCAGAAGAUGACUUGGACAAGAUAAUUUAGAUUGUCCAAGCAUAGAAGACAGUGCGACAACGUCAACAGGAUUACCAUUGCACCAGAGGAGUCUUUCCAAAAUAGUUGUAAUCUUCGAGAAAGAGGUCCGCAGACUUUAUUACAGAGCACGUCGUAAAAAAGGGGAAGUUUUUUGGGAUGUGUACUAUACACAGCUCGAGGAAUACAAGAGAUUACCAGAGCGGCAAAACGUGCCUGGAAGAUUUUCUGUGAACAUGUCGAUAGGGUUAAUGACGCUGAUAGGGGGCGCCCCGGUAGCCGAGUUGGUAGUGUGCUUGGAUUACCAGUGCUGGGGUUGAUUCCCGCCAGAAGCCUUGGUCUGACGCUACUGUGGUAUCACAAUGGACAAAAAUUGUCUAAGUGAGUCUGUAAAGGACUGCCACUCUUACCUAGCCUAACCUAUGACGCCGCCAAGAUGAAAAACUUUCUCUCAAAAUUCCAUGUCCAAACUGAAACGUUAGUAUACGACAUGGGAGUGAGAGAAGAGACAACGGAGGACAUUUUCCACAGCAUACGACGGGACUCACGGAGACACCGGCAUCUUGGAAUAAUGAGGUUGAACGAAUGCUUAUAAUAACCGAAUUUUUAGUCAAGGGAGCCUGGGGUGGUAUUUAUACCCAAGCACGGCAAGGCAAGUUAUGCGACACCAAAAGCCUACCCAUAAGCUUUACGUCCUUUCUACUCAAAACCAUGUUCCAUGUUCCAUUGUGGAUACCAUGAUAAAGAGAAGGACAUCCAUGCUUUGAACUGCUUGAAUCCUUCGAUGCCAAGACGUACACUUUGGCGGUUUGCAUUGACAUCGAGGGGGCGUUUAACAAUGUUCGGACAGACACAUUAGACCAGUACCCGGCCUUAAAGACUGGAUAAAUCAUAUGCUAAGGAACAGGUGGAUAAAUUGCGGGUCCCAUGACGGAAAUAUAAGAGAGAACGUCACACAGGGCACGCCACCAUAAAUAACCUAUUACGGAUGCUGACUGUGGAGGGACUUGAAGCGGUCUGCUAUGCAGACGAUGUUAUAAUACUUCUUAGGGAUAAGGAUUCAAACCAGCUAUGCAGAAGGGCCGAAUGGGUUUUGCAUGUGGCAUAUGACUGGGCUAGACCCAGGGAUGUUAAUGUUAAUACAGGGAAGACUGAAAUAUGUCUGUUCACGAGGAAGACGAAGGUGGGCCCAUUAGACGCACAACGUUUCCUCAACGAAAUAAUUUCGAUAUCUGACAAGUUCAAUUACAUAGGAGUGAUCUUGGAUAGGAAACUUAAUUGGAAGUGUGACAUUAAGGACAGCCUCUGCGUCCUGGUGACAGCCUCUGCGGCCAAUAGGGUCCCUUUUAGAUUCUCGUUUGUCCGUCCGUCUAGUCUUUGGGGUUUUCUGAUGUGCUGCUUUCUCAGCACCGUAAGGUCAACAUUGGCUGAUGGGCAAGGAAAUAUCCUCUACUAUCCACUACCUAACCUAACUAUGAGCUCAUGCUUAGGUUACUCUAUAGAACCCAACCAAAGGAAAAAACUUUUUUAACAAAAUAAAUCUGUCGAGAGUCAACCGUCUGUAUGCCUGUCGGUUUAUGGUCAGAGAAACUUUUUGGACUACCUUAUGG